rnacentral:rRNA from 1 species
UACGUAGGGAGCAAGCGUUGGCCGGAAUCAUUGGGCGUAAAGCGCGCGUAGGCGGCCUUGUAAGUCCGUUGUGAAAGUCAAAGGCUCAACCUUUGAAAGCCGAUGGAUACUGCAAGGCUAGAGUUCGGAAGAGGCGAGUGGAAUUCCUGGUGUAGCGGUGGAAUGCGCAGAUAUCAGGAGGAACACCAAUAGCGAAGGCAGCUCGCUGGGACGAUACUGACGCUAAGGCGCGAAAGCGUGGGGAGCGAACAGG